GGCACCACCAGGGGAUCCUGCGGCUUAAUUUGACUCNA
rnacentral:rRNA from 1 species